CCGCCCUGUGGGGACAAAGGAUGUCCCUCCUCCUCUGCUCCUGCUCACAAGGACCGGACCUGGGGAACCUCCCACUCCUGACCUGACCCUGCCAUGGGCACCAGGCUCCUCUGCUGGGUGACCCUCUGUCUGCUGGGGGCAGGUCACACAGAGGCUGGAGUUUUUCAGGCCCCCAGUCACAUAGUCACCAAGAGGGGACAGAAUGUGACAUUUCGGUGUGAUCCUAUUUCUGGCCAUGUUGGCCUUUACUGGUACCAACACGUGCCAGGGCAGGGCCCGAAGUUCUUGGUGUACUUUCAAAACGAGGAACCCCUGGACACCUCCGGGAUGCCUAAGGAUCGGUUCUUCAUUGUGAGACCUGACGGCUCCUACUCCAAUCUGACCAUCCAGCCUGCAGAGCCUGGGGACUCGGCCGUGUACCUCUGUGCCAGCAGUGCAACCACAAGCAACGGGAGGACAAAACCUCAUCCCGAAGACCAGAUCCCCGAGAGGGACAUGGUCAGUCUUGUGCUGCCGGAAUCCUCCAGGGGCUCUUGGCUCCUCUGCUGUGUGGCCUUGUGUCUCCUGGGUGCAGGGUCAGUGGCGGCUGGAGUCACCCAGUCCCCAAGACACCUCAUCAAAGGUCAUGGAGCCCAGGAGGCCUGCACCCUGGAGCAGCCAGAGCUGCAGACGUGCUAA